CCUGCUGUAUCCAAUUGUUGGGUCUUAGCCAAUUAACCUUAGGAGAUGCCUGGCCACAGGAAUGACUCCAUCCUUUUCAGAAGGAGGCCUCCUAUGGACAUUUGCUAUGACUGGUUUCUAGGGUGACGAGCCAUCCUUUUUGACAGGCUUACCAGAUCACAGGGCUUUCAGUGCUAAAAUCAGGAAAGUCCCAGGCAAACUGAGAUGAGUUGGUCAUCCUCUUAGUUUUUGGUUUUUGGUUUUUUGUUUGUUUGUUUUUUUUUUUCAGGACAGGAUCAGAGUGAAAAGGGGAUGACUUGACCAAUGAGAAACAGUCAUGCCUGAGACACUCAGGGCUGGUUGGGAUGCAGGGCGGGAUUAUAGUCCUCUGUGGAGGUUGACCCGGUCAGCUUGUGGUCUCCCAUGUAGCUGAGCUGCCAAAUUUGGGGUCUUCCUUCACUUCUGUUCCUAUCUCCCUAAGACAUUUCUGUAUCCAUUCCAGAGCCAAACAGGUACCAAGCCAGGGAUCUGGAGCCUCUGGACCCUGGGAGAAAGUGAAGUUUCCCCAAACCCUGAAGAUCUGCUUUGUUGGGUCCCCCAGGACUGCGGCUCUCCUUCCAAGUCAGGACGGGGUCAGCGCAAGACUCACUGCCUUUCUCUGCAGCCUUGGUCCUUAAAAAUCAGGCAAGGAGACAUUUGUGGAAGCUUCCAAGAAGACAAAUGGAAUGGAAUAGGAUGUUUACUUUCACGGAUCAGAAAUGAAUCACGUUGCUUUCUUUCAGAGUUGUAGAGUCUUAGGAAAGAAACAACAGAAAGAAAAUGUUUUGUAGAGGAGAGCUGUGAAAAGAACAGACUUCUGAGUGGAGUACCUGGGUCAGGAGAUAUGGAUCGAUUCUGUGAUUGGGCUCCUGAAAAACAAUAAACUUGCCAUGCUUUUGUAUACCUGGAUGCGGUCUCCAAAUGCUCUCUCUAGGCAUUUAUUCUGCUCCAGGGUCUUCAGAAGAACAGGAUACACACCCUGGGAACUCAGCCACCAUACUGUGGGGAAGCCCAGGCCACAUGGAGAGGCCACGUGUAUGUAUUCCAUCUGACAGCUCCAGCUGAGGUCCCAGCUGCCGGCCAUCAUUAACUGCCAGACAGCACCCAAGAGAAACUGUGACUUCAACUGUAGUAGAAAGCUUUGAAGAGAAGAGUGAUGAAGUUCCAUUUCAGAGGGUCCUGGUUUUGUCCUGCAAUAAAGCAGGAGGUGGACAUGAGGAUGAAUGACCCUUUCAAGGCCUUCUGGCAAAUUUGUCAGGUCAUUGGUAAAAUAUCUCUUCAGGAGCCUCGUGAUUAUAAGGAAAGGGUCAGGCAAUGAACACAGUCCUCCAAGUGAAUAGAGAAGUGCUUCUAUGGUAAAUAAGCACAAGCCUGAUCCCGACUCUGCUUCUCCCUUGCUGGGCAACUUUAGAUAAAUUGCAUAACCUCUUCCAAGGCUCAGUGCCCUCGUUCUGUAUGAAGAAGGGGUUGUAGUAGACGCUGUUUGAGUUCCCUUCCAGCCCUGAUAUAUUAUGAUUUCCAGGGCCCCCAUAUUUCUGAAUUAACUGAAAACUCCCCUCUUGCUCACCACCCUUGAUGGUUAUGUUGAAAUGCCUGUCAUCUGUGUGUUAAGCUGGGAGAGGAGCUCUCUACUGUGUGCCAAGAAAGAGCUCUCGCGCCUCUUCCAGGGCCAUAUGUGGCCAGGAUCCCCUGGGAAAGCAAAAGCACAU
rnacentral:lncRNA from 10 species